rnacentral:rRNA from 1 species
UUAAGUCCCGCAACGAGCGCAACCCUUGUCGUAUGUUGCCAGCACGUUAUGUGGGAACUCAUACGAGACUGCCGGUGUCAAAACCGGAGGAAGGUGGGGAUGACGUCAAGUCAUCAUGCCCCUUAUGCCCUGGGCUGCACACGUGCUACAAUGGCCGGUACAAUGGGCUGCGAAACCGCGAGGUAGAGCGAAUCCCACAAAGCCGGUCCAAGUUCGGAUUGAAGGCUGAAACUCGCCUACAUGAAGUCGGAAUCGCUAGUAAUCGCGGAUCAGCACGCCGCGGUGAAUACGUUCCCGGGCCUU